rnacentral:rRNA from 1 species
UACGUAGGGUGCGAGCGUUGUCCGGAAUUACUGGGCGUAAAGAGCUCGUAGGUGGUUUGUCGCGUUGUUCGUGAAAACUCACAGCUCAACUGUGGGCGUGCGGGCGAUACGGGCAGACUGGAGUACUGCAGGGGAGACUGGAAUUCCUGGUGUAGCGGUGGAAUGCGCAGAUAUCAGGAAGAACACCGGUGGCGAAGGCGGCUCUCUGGGCCUUACCUGACGCUGAGGAGCGAAAGCGUGGGUAGCGAACAGG